GACGAACGCUGACGGCGUGCUUUAGACAUGCAAGUCGAACGAGAAAGCCCUUCGGGGUUAGUAAAGUGGCGAACGGGUGAGUAACACGUGGGCAAUCUACCCUUCGUGGGGGGACAACCGGGGGAAACCCCGGCUAAUACCCCGUCAGCUUGCAGGACCGCAUGGUCCUGCAAGGAGAGGUAGCUUCGGCCAUCCGGCGAAGGAGGAGCCCGCGGUACAUUAUUAGUUUGUUGGUGAGGUAACGGCUCACCAAGACGACGAUGUAUAGCUGGUCUGAGAGGAUGAUCAGCCACACUGGGACUGAGACACGGCCCAGACUCCUACGGGAGGCAGCAGUCGGGAAUCUUGCACAAUGGGCGAAAGCCUGAUGCAGCAACGCCGUGUGAGCGACGAAGGCCCUAGGGUCGUAAAGCUCUGUUGUUAGGGACGAAGGGCGAAGGGUUAAUAGCCCUUAGCCUGACGGUACCUUUCGAGGAAGCCCCGGCUAACUACGUGCCAGCCGCCGCCGUAACAC
rnacentral:rRNA from 1 species